CCCUUAGAUGUUCUGGGCCGCACGCGCGCUACACUGAUUCAUUCAACGAGUCUAAAACCUGCUCUGAUAGGGGUGGGUAAUCUUUUGAAUGUGCAUCGUGAUUGGGAUAGAUGAUUGCAAUUUUUCAUCUUCAACGAGGAAUGCCUAGUAAACGCAAGUCAUCAGCUUGCAUUGAUUACGUCCCUGCCCUUUGUACACACCGCCCGUCGCUCCUACCGAUUGAAUGAUCCGAUGAAUAUCAUGGAUUGAGGAUGCAAGCAGGUUCGCCUGUCUUCAUCUUCGAGAAGUGAAGUAAAUCUUAUCAUUUAGAGGAAGGAGAAGUCGUAACA
rnacentral:rRNA from 1 species